ensembl:snRNA U6 U6 spliceosomal RNA
GUGGUCAUUCACUUCAGCAGCACAUGGACUAAAAUUCUUUAUACAAAGAAGAUUAGCACAAUGUCUGCACGAGAGUGAUAAGCAAUUUCAUGAAGUGUUUCAUUUUUUU